CUCAGAUUGAACGCUGGCGGCAGGCUUAACACAUGCAAGUCGAACGAUGAAGUCUAGCUUGCUAGACGGAUUAGUGGCGAACGGGUGAGUAAUGCUUAGGAAUCUGCCUAUUAGUGGGGGAUAACGUAGGGAAACUUACGCUAAUACCGCAUACGACCUACGGGUGAAAGGGGGCUUUUAGCUCUCGCUAAUAGAUGAGCCUAAGUCGGAUUAGCUAGUUGGUGGGGUAAAGGCCUACCAAGGCGACGAUCUGUAGCUGGUCUGAGAGGAUGAUCAGCCACACUGGGACUGAGACACGGCCCAGACUCCUACGGGAGGCAGCAGUGGGGAAUAUUGGACAAUGGGCGAAAGCCUGAUCCAGCCAUGCCGCGUGUGUGAAGAAGGCCUUUUGGUUGUAAAGCACUUUAAGUGGGGAGGAAAAGCUUAUGGUUAAUACCCAUAAGCCCUGACGUUACCCACAGAAUAAGCACCGGCUAACUCUGUGCCAGCAGCCGCGGUAAUACAGAGGGUGCAAGCGUUAAUCGGAAUUACUGGGCGUAAAGCGCGCGUAGGUGGUUAUUUAAGUCAGAUGUGAAAGCCCCGGGCUUAACCUGGGAACUGCAUCUGAUACUGGAUAACUAGAGUAGGUGAGAGGGGAGUAGAAUUCCAGGUGUAGCGGUGAAAUGCGUAGAGAUCUGGAGGAAUACCGAUGGCGAAGGCAGCUCCCUGGCAUCAUACUGACACUGAGGUGCGAAAGCGUGGGUAGCAAACAGGAUUAGA
rnacentral:rRNA from 1 species